GCUGACACAUCCCGGGCAAUCUCCAGCAGACCCUCCCUCCCAGACCCUCCUACUUCCUGGACAGCAUCCAUGUUGAAGCUGCCUUCAACAUGGAUGCUGUCCAGGAAGUAGGAGGGUCUGGGAGGGAGGGUCUGCUGGAGAUUGGCCGGGAUGUGUCAG